rnacentral:rRNA from 1 species
UACGUAGGGGGCAAGCGUUGUUCGGAAUGACUGGGCGUAAAGGGUGCGUAGGCGGUGUAGCAAGUUAGAAGUGAAAUACCUAGAGCUUAACUCAGGUGCUGCUUCUAAAACUGCUAUACUUGAGUGCAGUAGAGGAAAGUGGAAUUCCAAGUGUAGCGGUGGAAUGCGUAGAUAUUAGGAGGAACAUCAGUGGCGAAGGCGACUUUCUGGACUGUAACUGACGCUGAGGCACGAAAGUGUGGGGAGCAAACAGG